rnacentral:rRNA from 1 species
AAUGAACGCUGGCGGCAUGCCUAACACAUGCAAGUCGAACGAAGGCUUCGGCCUUAGUGGCGCACGGGUGCGUAACGCGUGGGAAUCUACCCUUAGGUUCGGAAUAACAGUGGGAAACGACUGCUAAUACCGGAUGAUGACGUAAGUCCAAAGAUUUAUCGCCUAGGGAUGAGCCCGCGUAGGAUUAGCUAGUUGGUGUGGUAAAGGCGCACCAAGGCGACGAUCCUUAGCUGGUCUGAGAGGAUGAUCAGCCACACUGGGACUGAGACACGGCCCAGACUCCUACGGGAGGCAGCAGUGGGGAAUAUUGGACAAGGGGCGAAAGCCUGAUCCAGCAAUGCCGCGUGAGUGAUGAAGGCCUUAGGGUUGUAAAGCUCUUUUACCCGGGAUGAUAAUGACAGUACCGGGAGAAUAAGCUCCGGCUAACUCCGUG